rnacentral:rRNA from 1 species
AGUGAACGCUGGCGGUAGGCCUAACACAUGCAAGUCGAACGGCAGCACAGUAAGAGCUUGCUCUUACGGGUGGCGAGUGGCGGACGGGUGAGGAAUACAUCGGAAUCUACUUUUUCGUGGGGGAUAACGUAGGGAAACUUACGCUAAUACCGCAUACGACCUACGGGUGAAAGCAGGGGAUCUUCGGACCUUGCGCGAUUGAAUGAGCCGAUGUCGGAUUAGCUAGUUGGCGGGGUAAAGGCCCACCAAGGCGACGAUCCGUAGCUGGUCUGAGAGGAUGAUCAGCCAAAAUGGAACUGAGACACGGUCCAGACUCCUACGGGAGGCAGCAGUGGGGAAUAUUGGACAAUGGGAGCAAGCCUAAUCCAGCCAUACCGCGUGGGUGAAGAAGGCCUUCGGGUUGUAAAGCCCUUUUGUUGGGAAAGAAAAGCAGCAGGUUAAUACCCCGCUGUUCUGACGGUACCCAAAGAAUAAGCACCGGCUAACUUCGUG